rnacentral:rRNA from 1 species
UACAGAGGGUGCGAGCGUUGUUCGGAAUUACUGGGCGUAAAGCGCGCGCAGGCGGCCGUUUAAGUCUACCCGUGAAAUGCCGGGGCUCAACCCCGAGCACGCCGGGGGAUACUGGACGGCUGGAGACACGUAGAGGCAAGCGGAAUUCCGGGUGUAGCGGUGGAAUGCGUAGAGAUCCGGAAGAACACCGGAGGCGAAGGCGGCUUGCUGGGCGUGAUCUGACGCUGAGGUGCGAAAGCGUGGGGAGCAAACAGG